rnacentral:lncRNA from 1 species
GUUGUUUUCCAGAAUUACCUCAAACGAAAGCACAACAGUCAGACGUGAAAUGGAAACAGAAAAAUCUUCUGAAGCAGAACAGUAACGCUGUGAAUUUAAAAGUAAUGGGUGUCCCAGCAGAAGAAAAAAGCAUCCCUCCUACCUCAUUUCUCCUUUCGGAGGCUAGCAGGAAAUUAAAAAAGGAAAGGAGUUUCAUGCAGUAUUUCUGACAGCAAAUUUCUCAGAAUCCAGAGAUACUUCUUUUCUCUGUAAUAAGUUGCUGCAG